CGUCGUGAAUGCAUGAUGAUAUUUCUCUGCCAGGUGUGACUGGAGCAGAUUUGGGUGGACCUCAGAUGGCCAAUCUGGGCCGAGCUGUUCAAGAUCUGAAGAGAGAAAAGAGCAGAGCACUUGGUUCCCCGUAUGGAGACAGAACUCUUGGACCUGAAAUGCCCAACAUGGGCACUGGCUUUAGCCCUCAUGCACUGCCACAUGGAAGCCUUGAUCAUCUAGUGAAGUCUUCAAGUCUUGGACCUCUGACACCCCUUGAUAAACAGAGUAAACAUCUUGGUCUGGGUGUUUCACAAGCACAAGGUGGAGAACGUUAUGAUCCUACGCUCUUAGAAAGAAGGAGUGCAGCAAGCCACAGAGCCACACUGGCCGCUGGAGGUGUAAGACCGCAACUACCUCUUGAUGAAGACAAAAUCAGACUUCUGGAAGCUGCUUCCUCUCAGGUACAGAGUGCGAGAGACUAUGAUUCACCUAACCAACAAAAUCAACAAAACCCAAACUGUGGAUCCACUCGGGAUGUGUUAGAUAUGCUAGGAAUCAAUCACCAUGAGCUCUUGGGUUCAGAAACACAGAAGACUCGAGGUUUAGGUCUCCAGGCUCAUGUUGGUAAGGACAGCAAACAUCUUGGACGAGCAGCUCCACAAGCACAAGGAGAGAGAAACUUACAAAGGCCUCUUUUACAAACUCAGGAUGGCAGAGGCAGUAUAUUCUCUCUUCCACAAGGGCAGGGAAACAGAGGCCAUGUAUCUGCUGUAGCAGACGGGCAGGGUGUUGGGCUUGUGGCUAAAGACAACAAUGGGCCUAGAAUCCGUGGAACUGUUGCUGUAGAUAAUUAUAGUCACAGUUCUCUAAAUCUUCAAGCACAAGGACGGGGUGGUUAUAGACCAGUGAUCCCAGGUGGAAGUCAAAGUUUAGGCAUCACCUCAAUAGAAGGGCAGGAAACUAAAGGCUUUACUGCUGAUGGUCAGAAAUCCAAACACCUUUCCCUUGCUGAACAUGAUGCCACACAGUCAAAAUCUCUCGGUAUCCCAGGACAGACUGGGAGGAAUGACCAGGCAACAAGUUAUAUGGGUGGAGCAGGAAACUAUCUGGGAGCAAGCCUGGGAGCAGGGGGCCACGGUGC
rnacentral:lncRNA from 1 species